rnacentral:rRNA from 1 species
UACGUAGGGGGCUAGCGUUGUCCGGAUUUAUUGGGCGUAAAGAGCGUGUAGGCGGUCAGGUAGGUCCGUUGUGAAAACUCGAGGCUCAACCUCGAGACGUCGGCGGAAACCCUCUGGCUAGAGUCCGGAAGAGGAGAGUGGAAUUCCUGGUGUAGCGGUGAAAUGCGCAGAUAUCAGGAAGAACACCCGUGGCGAAGGCGGCUCUCUGGGACGGUACUGACGCUGAGACGCGAAAGCGUGGGGAGCAAACAGG